AGGAGCGACCAUACCAGCACUAAUGCAUCAGAUCUCAUCGGAACUCCGAAGUUGAGCAUGUUUUGGGCGAGAAUUGUUCAUGUAGCGCCCCUG
rnacentral:rRNA from 1 species